AUUCCAGCUCCAAUAGCGUAUAUUAAAGUUGUUGUGGUUAAAUAGCUCGUAGUUGGAUCUCAACAGCCUUGAAGCGGUUAACUUUGUAGUUUUACUGCUUUAUAGGCUGUGCUUUUGCUGGAGGUUUAGGGGUGCUCUUGAUCGAGUGUCUCUGGAUGCCAGUAGGUUUACUUUGAAAAAAUUAGAGUGCUCAAAGCAGGCUAAAAUGCCUGAAUAUUCGUGCAUGGAAUAAUAGAAUAGGAUGUCGAUCCUAUUUUGUUGGUUUUCGGGACUCGACAUAAUGAUAAAUAGGGACAGUCGGGGGCAUUUGUAUUCAAACGACAGAGGUGAAAUUCUUGGACCGUUUGAAGACAAACUACUGCGAAAGCAUUUGCCAAGAAUGUUUUCAUUA
rnacentral:rRNA from 1 species